rnacentral:lncRNA from 1 species
CGACCUGCCUCGCUCACUCAGGAAACCUUGCAGAAGACAAGAGAGUUGGAAAUUUGUCAUUACUGAGGUAGCCCUGAAUCUACAGUACUUUGUCAAAGUAAUACUUUUUAAAAAAAAAAAUGUUCACAACUUGGAGUACCUCAUUAAUAACGAUCAAUUCCUUGGGUCAUAUCUCUCCACUGACCACAACACACUUGGGUAACCAUGGGCGUAAGACCCUUGAGAACUGUAUGAAGUGACACCCACCACCAGACCAAAGUCCCCCAGUUGAUUCUACAUGCCAGCCAACACUGAAGAUUUUAUGUAUAAAAACAAACGGUGGGGAGUUCCCGUCAUGGCGCAGUGGUUAACGAAUCCGACUAGGAACCAUGAGGUUGCGGGUUCGGUCCCUGCCCUUGCUCAGUGGGUUAACGAUCCGGCGUUGCUGUGAGCUGUGGUGUAGGUUGCAGACGCGGCUCGGAUCCCGCGUUGCUGUGGCUCUGGCGUAGGCCGGUGGCUACAGCUCCGAUUCAACCCCUAGCCUGGGAAUCUCCAUAUGCCAUGGGAGAGGCCCAAGAAAUACCAACAACAACAACAACAACACACACACACAAAAAAAAAAACGAAUGGUGGGAGUUCUUGGCUCAGUGGUAAUGAAUCCAACUAGUAUCAGUGAGGAUGUGGGUUCAAUCCCUGAUCUCACUCAGGGGGUUGAGGAUCUGGCAAUGCACUGAGCUGUGGUGUAGGUCACAGAUGCAGCUCGGACUGGAGUUACUGUGGCUCUGGUGGAAGCCAGCAGCUGUAGCUCUGAUUCGACCCCUAGCCUGGGAAUUUCCAUGUGCUGCAGGUGUAGCCCUAAAAAGACAAAAAAAAAAAGCUAACAGUCAUCAAUUUCUAUUUAACCAGAAGUUUGGGCAUCAAAUAAAAAUCAGCCUGAUGAUAUUUUACUGCUCCUGCUCCUUUGAAAUUCUUGCAAAGUACUCAAAGCUUAGAUCUAUGUGGUAAUAACUUAAAACAAUGGUGUAUCUUUUAAAUAAGUAAACUUUUUUUUUUUUGGCCACACCUGCAGUAGGUGGAAGUUCCUGCACCAGCAAUCAAACCUGCACCACAGCAGCAAAAACAGCAGAUCCUUAACCCACUAUAGCUGGGAUUUGAACCCAAGCAAAUCUGACCCAGAGCUCGUAAGCUUAACCUUUACACGACACAAGAAACUUGAAAAAUCCUACAGUCUAGAAGGAGACUGAAGCAGUGGUUUACACAAGAGCUGGUUCUCAAAUUGUUAUGUGAGCUUCUCAUCUCUGCUCUAUGUUGUCAGUGAGCAAUGAAAGAAAAGAAAAAGAAAUAAAGAACAAAGGUGAGGAACUAGAGCGAAGGGUAUGGCUAAGCUACUUUCUCUGCAAAAGGCCACAAAGCAUCAAGAACUCAGAUUAAUUCAUCCAAAGGUUAAAAGAGGGAUUUUUCCUUUUGAGACGAUAAAGAUGAAAUAUGUUGACUUGUCUGGAGGCUAAAGAAUAAUUAGAAAGAUUCCUCAGCAGAUAACUGAUGAAUCCAGGGGGUGCUGGCUGCCUGGUGGACUCAAUGCAGGACUGGGGAACCUCUUGGUGGGCCAGCCUUGAGCAGGACACAGAGACCUGAGGCUCACCCACUGGGACAGUCAUCAGCCUUGGAUAACCAUAGCAAUAACACUGCUGACAAAAAUCCAGGGAGUUCUUUAGAAUUACAAACCCUCCUAGCCAUCACAGAACUGGAUUACAACCAACCUGUGAAGUACAAAUUAUCCUCUGGUUUACAGAUGAAGAAAGUGAGAUGCAGAGAGGCUAAGUGCUGUACUCGCACAGGUGAGACUCAACUUUCUGACGUCAAAGUACCUCCCUCUUAUCACAUCCCUUGGUGUAGAUGUUACUCAAUCGCUAGAUGGGCAGUAGAAACUCAGUGUGGGUGGGCAGCCUGCGACUGGGGCUCACACCCCAGCUCAAAUAUUUCCUGGCCGCUGGAUGACCCUUGGGGCAAGUUUCUUAAGUGCCUGUUUUCCAGGCUGAAAUUGAAUGAGUUAAUGUAUAUCAAGAGUAAAUCCAUGUGGCUGUAAUAGUAAGUAUUCAUCAGGUAUUAGUUUUUUAUUAGUUAUUAUUCACUUAUUUAACAAACUUUGCUCAGAUAGGUAUUCUGCUACAGGUCUGUGGGCUUAGUCCAGACAAUACGACAAUCCUGCCCAAAGGUGACUCACAGUCCUUGGAUGACCAACACAAAGAGAGGUAUAUAAAGCAAGGAGGAGGAAAACAACACUGACACAUUAUGGAAUAAAACAGGCACAUACAGGGACAUUUAUCCAGAGCAGCCUGUGAAGCAAAAUCUUUAAAUUCCAAGAACGAUGCCACAAACUGAUAUAUGGUUUCAAAUUAAAAAUCAGCAUAUGGAUACUUCAUAAAAACAAAAUAUUUAGAAUUGAGGACCCUUAGUUCAAAUCUCAAUUCCAUAACCUACCAACUUUGUGAUUUUCAUCAUCUUACUUUUCAGGGCAUCUAUCUACUCACCUCUAAAAGUGAGAUUAAAUAAUCAUACACCUCACAUGCUUGUUAAGCAGAUGAAAUGAUGUAGGUGAAAGUGCUCUGGAAAUUUUCAAACGUCAUUGUAAGUAUUACUAAUCACAGUGGAGGGGGAGGAUCAAGAGUAGAGGAAAAGAGGGCAAACAACACCCAAGCAUUUGCUGAGGUGCCUGAGCAGCCACAACAAGCAGGGGUUCUGUCCUGCUCCUGUAGUCCACAUGUGUGCAAGGGUGGUGAAUCUCCUUGAAAAGCACAGACAGGGAUGGAGCCCCAAUUUUAAAUACACACAGCUAGUUUCCUCCGGCAGUCAGCUUCUGUCUUAUUCUCAGGCCCUGUGGACAAUUCUGUGAUUUGGGCAUCUUCCCUUGGGGAAACCACGCUGCCCGCCUCUGCUGGUUUGCACCUGGAAGCCACCACCUGUCUCCACCCUGGGGGCUUUGUGUCCCCUGGAGCUCACUCUCUAGUUGCAGAGAAGGCCACUACCAGACACAGGACAUGGGUGGAGAGUCCAUCCCAAACCAUCUGCAGAAAUGUUUUUCUUCACCAUGACCCCCCUGGAGGCCUGCCAAGCAACACUGAUUUGGGCCCCAAGAGGAGAGCUCUGAGUGUGCCAAGUGGACAAAGACAGUGAAGGUAUGUGCAGUGGGCAGUGCCUGGGGAGCGACGUGGCAUCAUAAAAGAGCCUGGGGACUGAGAGAAUGAUGAGCAGAGCAUGGAGUACAGAGGAGAUGAAGGGGUGGCAAGUGAAGGCCAUGCCUGUCAGGCUUGGGAACUUUAUACCCAUAAGGGAAUAAAGCAGAGGAGGGACAUAAUCUUUCUGAAGAGGUCACCCUGGCCACAGAGUCACAGAGAACAGACUAGAAGUUGGAGCACCUAGUGGCAGAGAGGCCAGGUACCUAAAAGGGAUGGCACAGAUGAGGCCAUGAGGGCGUGGACUCCAUUCCAGUGAGUACCCAUCAUGGCUCAGUGGUUAACGAACCCAACCAGCAUCCAUGAGGAUGCGGAUUCAAUCCCUGGCCUCACUCAGUGGGUUAAGGAUUUGGUGUUGCUGUGAGCUGUGCUGUAGGUUGCAGACUCGACUCAGAUCCCACAUUGCUGUGGCUGUGGUGUAGGCUAGCAGCUACAGCUCCAACUGGACCCGUAGCCUGGGAACCUCUAUAUGCUGCUGGUGUGGCCCUAAAAGACAAAAAGACAAAAUAAAUAAAUUAAUUAAAUUAAAUUGAAAAAGGCAAAAUCAGGGAGUUCCCACCGUGGCUCAGAACUAACAAACCUGACUAGUAUCCAUGAGGAUGCAGGUUCAAUCCCUGGCUUCCUUCAGUGGGUUAAGGAGCCAGUGUUGCUGUGAACUGUAGUGUGUGUCGCAGAUGCGGCUGGAAUCUGGGGUUGCUGUGGCUGUGGUAUAUAUAGGCCAGUGGCUACAGCUCCAAUUGGACCCCUAGCCUGGGAACUUCCAUAUGCUGCACCUGUGGCACUAAAGAGACAUUAAGAAAAAAAAAAAAGGUGGAGUUCCCGUCAUGGCGCAGUGGUUAACGAAUCCGACUAGGAACCAUGAGGUUGCGGGUUCGGUCCCUGCCCUUGCUCAGUGGGUUAACGAUCCGGCGUUGCCGUGAGCUGUAGUGUAGGUUGCAGACGCGGCUCGGAUCCUGCGUUGCUGUGGCUCUGGGGUAGGCCGGUGGCUACAGCUCCGCUUGGACCCCUAGCCUGGGAACCUCCAUAUGCCGAGGGAGCGGCCCAAAAAAAAGCAACAA